CACGUAGGGUGCGAGCGUUGUCCGGAAUUAUUGGGCGUAAAGAGCUCGUAGGCGGUGUGUCGCGUCGGCCGUGAAAACCUGCAGCUUAACUGUAGGCUUGCGGUCGAUACGGGCAUCACUGGAGUUCGGCAGGGGAGACUGGAAUUCCUGGUGUAGCGGUGAAAUGCGCAGAUAUCAGGAGGAACACCGGUGGCGAAGGCGGGUCUCUGGGCCGAUACUGACGCUGAGGAGCGAAAGCGUGGGGAGCGAACAGG
rnacentral:rRNA from 1 species